GAAGUGUGGUAUUGAUUUAAAAAACAAAGUGUGGAAUGGACAAUGCAACAGUGCCUCAAGUUAUCACCCAACUCAUCUCCAACCGCUACAAUAAAUUGGUCAGAUAACGUUUUUAAGUGUUGUAUAAAUAUGCAAGCUUGAUCAUAUUUGAAAUUAAUAUAAGACAUUUUUUCAAACGAAGAAAACCGUUUUUAUGAUGACAAUUGUGACUCGUGUGAAAUUGUUUAUUUCAUAGAUGUAAUUCUCCAUCAAAUUAAUACACUUACUUUCAUUUUUUUUUUUCCUAUAUGACUCAUGAUUUUCUAAAUUUUAAUGCAAAAUGCAAAAACUUGUUUAUAAUAGUAAGACAUGCUGAAAAUUUUAGUUUUUUGGCUCUAGUUUACGAGGCAAUUUUUUUAAGCCUAGAAAAGAAAAACUUUUGUAUAUUCUAACAUCUGAAAAAUUUCAUUGGGUUAGUACAUAAUCCAUUCUAAGUACAUGUUUUUAGUAUAACUCAUGUUUGUUCUAGCUAUCACUGUUGUUUUGCGAUUUGAUACCAAUGCUAACUCACUGAAAAAUUAUAACAUUUUUUAAAUUAACCAAUGCUAACUCACUGGCCCAGUAUUCUCAUGUCACUCAUUAUGGAAUAAUACUAAAACAUUGAUACCAUAUAAUUAUUUUGUAGGGACACAAUUGUUGGAGGGAAGCAGAGUGUUGUGACGAGUUGUGGGUGUAGGGGUGAUAUUAAAAUUUGUAUAUAAAUAAUCAAUAACAGAAAGAAAGUUCUGUCGGUUAAAUAUUUAUCUCUGUGAGUGUUUAUUUUCUUGUUUUAGGAUUCAAGAAUUUGAUAGGGAAUAGGUGAUAUUGUAAGAUGUCUAAGUUUUAUGUCGUGUAUCGUGUAAUAUGAAACACUCAGUGCUAUAUUUAAG
rnacentral:lncRNA from 1 species